rnacentral:misc_RNA from 1 species
GGAGAGUUUUCUUCAAUUUCCUUUCUAGAAAAGUACCAACGACCGCCUUCCUCUAGUUUUUCCUGAGAAUAUUUCUGCAGGUUUGUUCCAUGAUGAGAAGAAUCACCAGGCAGUGAACUAGCCAUAUGUGUCCUUGCAACUAACGUAUCCAAAAUGUUUAUAAAGAAUCUGUAUAUGUGCCAACUGCACUGACUAAAUCACCAUGUUGUAUAAGAGCUCCCAGCACAAGGAUUGCCGAAAGAUGGGUCAAUAUAAGAAAGACCCUUGUGUAGAGCCCAAAAGAAAAAAAAGGAAGAAGAAUUUGAAGAGCG